rnacentral:rRNA from 1 species
UACGUAGGCAGCAAGCGUUGUUCGGAAUUACUGGGCGUAAAGCGAGUGUAGGUGGUUCGAUAAGUUUGGUGUGAAAUCUCCCGGCUCAACUGGGAGGGUGCGCCGAAGACUGUCGAGCUAGAGUGUGGGAGAGGUAGGCGGAAUUCCUGGUGUAGCGGUGAAAUGCGUAGAUAUCAGGAGGAACACCUGCGGUGUAGACGGCUUACUGGACCACGACUGACACUGAAACUCGAAAGUGUGGGGAG